rnacentral:snRNA from 1 species
UUCACUUUGUCGAAUCAUCA